rnacentral:rRNA from 1 species
GAUGAACGCUGGCGGCGUGCUUAACACAUGCAAGUCGAACGAGAAUCAACGGAUUGAGGAUUCGUCCAAAUGAAGUUGAGGAAAGUGGCGGACGGGUGAGUAACGCGUGAGGAACCUGCCUCGGAGUGGGGAAUAACAGUUGGAAACGACUGCUAAUACCGCAUAAUGUACAGAGGGGGCAUCCCUUUUGUAUCAAAGGAGAAAUCCGCUGAAAGAUGGGCUCACGUCUGAUUAGCUAGUUGGUGGGGUAAAGGCCUACCAAGGCUGCGAUCAGUAGCCGGACUGAGAGGUUGAACGGCCACAUUGGGACUGAGAUACGGCCCAG